ensembl:lncRNA
GAGAAAUCUCGUGCUGCCAAGCCACACAGUGCUGCUACUGCAGGAGAGUAAGGGAUGCUGUUGCCUGGAGGCACAGAGCUUGGAUACUGCUCACUGAUGUUCCCAGGGAUGUCUGUUGAAGUAUCUGUUGCUAUUUGACCAUGGAGAGCUUCAGGGGGAAGGCUGUCCUGGUGGGUGGAAAUGAUCCCUUGGUACACACAGUGGAAAAGAAGCAGUUCUUCCUGCUGAAUCUCUACAGCAUGUCCAACCUGGCGUUGGGAAAUCCCUUUGGAGCCCAGUGUUGCCAGCUCUGCUGAGUGGGUAUCUCCCAGCAUCACCAUCGAUGUGCUGGGCUCCUUAACAAAGGGCCAACUCUAACCCAGCAGUUACAUCUGACCAGGCUUUGCUGUUGAGGUGGGGGAAGCUCAAAAAAACGUUCUGCCAUUACUCUUCUCUCUUCCUUCUCCUGAGCCCCUCUCCAGGUCCCAUCCACCCACUUGCCAGCAGCAUCUCCACAGGCCGUGCUGAGCAUCACUCCAUGGACCCGACCCCACUGCCAGCCACUGCUGCCAUUCAGACUGCUGAAGUCAAAUUAGGGUCAGAUUUUGGGUGGCUCUGCUUGGAGCCAGGAGUUGGGCUCAGUGCUUCUUAUGGAUCCCUUCCAACUCAGAAUAUUCCACGACUCGAUGAUGUUAUGAUUCAAGGGGAUCUCAGGAAGUUGCCCACACCAUGGCGUUACACAAAGGACUCAGGAAAGGGGCAGGAUCCACGAGGCCAUGCAGAAGACGGGAUCUUCCGUAGCUUUUCUUCCCGGGGAAGGGCUCUGAGGAGAGUUCUGCACCCUCUGCAGUGGGGAACAGCACAGUCACUUUCUUGGAGAGCUGCACAAGGUCAAUCUUUUUCCUUUUUUUUUUCCCCAUUGGUCAUCAUGGCAUUUCUGAGCUUCCCCUGUCAAACACUGUGGUGUUUGGGGAGGAAUGUAAGCGAAAAAAAGGGCAACUUUGGGUGUUUAAAGAACAGGUUUUCCAAUAGCUUGCAAUGUGCAGUUUGCUGCUUGCCAGGCCUUCUCAACUUCUUUAGGAUCUGCCCAUCUGCUGUGCAACAGUGGGUGCAAAAUCUUAUGUUUAUCCAGGACUGAGCAUAGCCCUUGUUGUUACAAUUAAGCUACGCGCUACUUUCCAUAACUCAUUAGCCCUUUAGCUUCUGGAUUAAUUCAAUGUGCAAAUAACGUCACAAAUUGAAUAUUACUGGACUUCUAUUGAGUAUUAAGCGGCAGUAAAAGCACAUUGCUGUGUCUUCAUUCUGCUUUGCACGACGGUGGUUUGUCCAGCGUGUCAAGCAGCUCGUUAGCCUCCCGACAGCUCAGUGCCUUCUUUCCAUGCUGGUUUUUUUGUGUGGUAACCCAGAUAUUAGAACAGAAAUGCAACGACUGCAUGGAAAAGUGGGGAUAGGCAAAAAGGAUACAGCUUUUGGGUGGGGUUGCUUAACCCAGCCUAGGCACCCCUAUUACUGCCGUGCAGAAAAGCAAGCUUUGCUAUGGGCGCAGCGUCCCACAUCAGCCAGAGAUCCCCAUAGGAUGCCAGCACUGCUCCAGGGCCUUGGCUGGAUUUGGGGCUGAAGGAGUUGCAAUGCCAACACACUCCCAAAGCUCCAAACUUCAAACGUGUUGGUGUUACCAACAUGGGCAGAAUGGCUCCAUGCCAUGGGAACCUCCACGGCACCACUGAGCAAAAUGGGUGCAGCUUUCUUUCAACGCGCUGAAGUGGAGGCAAAUUUCAAUCUAAUAAUGUAAAGCAGCAAUAACCAUUAUAAUUAAUUUAUAUAAAAGGCAUUAUAAAAUUACACUUGAUGCAUUUAAAUCCCAUCCAGGAGCAGUGCUCGUUUUCCAGUUAAGCUAUGGGCUGUGCUAAGGCAGACGGAGAAAGAGGUAUUUCAAUAUUUUUUAUAAUUUUAUAUUCUUUCUAAUAUCUCUCAUGCUAAUUUCAUUAUGCAACACAGUCAG